rnacentral:lncRNA from 1 species
AACUACUCAUACUCCCUGGACAUUUACACGGGAGCAAAGGGAAAGAAUUCUAAAUUAUUUUGCCAUUUUUUACUUGCUUACAAUAAAUGUAUUAAACUUUUUAACUGGUUGUUUUACAGACACAGAGGACUUUUAUUGACAGCUGGCAUCCUGUGAAAAGAAAAAUGGGGCAGAUCUUCAGCUGAGGCUGUGCCCUCAGUUAUGAUAUGAAAAGAACAACAACCAUUUUUCUUUAAGGACAGGGGAUGCCUGAACCUCAUACUCAUCUUGCUCUUUUUUUCUUGUUAAACAAAUGAAGGAUCACACUUAUGCUGUAGAUUGGAAGGGGAACCUUUGUCAUAGGCUGUAAGGUGAGGAGAUCCCUUUCAGCAGAGUGGGAUUAUACUUGAAAAGGAAAAAAAUCUCAUCAGAAAGGAGCUUUGCUACCAUAAUGACGAAGAUAGAGGUUUGUUUCUAAAACACAACAGUCCUGAAGGCUGCAGAGACUUUGCUGUAAGUUGCAUCUCCCACAGAAUCUGCUACAAUAAAAGAAAGUUUAUU